GGUUUCAUCGUCCAGCGGCCAGGAUGCCCCGUUGUCUGCGGGAGGACGCGGGUUCGAGUCCCGCUGGGACCG
rnacentral:tRNA from 1 species